UCCUUUGUCCACACACAGUGGUGAUGAAUUUCGAGAGGCCAUUUAUACACAACAGCUACAUGGGAGAAGCAGAAGCCAGGACAACAGCAGAGUAUUAACUUCCUAGAUGGCUUUGUGAUGGACCAUUAGAAGAGCUGCACCUUGCCUGGGCUACCUGUGGGAUUGGCUGUUACCUGCCCACAUUUUGGACCUGAACUGCUUCCCUGUGCUUGAUAUUUCUUGGAUUGCACUGUACCGUCAUCCCUGCUCUUCUUGUGGUGCCAUUGGGGUAGGAAACUGGCGCAGAUGCGGAGAAGGCUGCUUGGCAGAAUGAACAGUGUUGUAACCUGCCCUAGGUGAAGAGCAGGUAAGAGAUCUUAUAACUGAAAUGAAUAAAUGAAUAAAAUAUAUGAAAACCAUUUGCAAAUGGGGCAUUGUUCCUUAGAAGGUAAAGAGCUACAGGAAUCGACAUGUGAGCUGAGCAGGCCCAAAGAUGCACCGGUCUGGAUACUUACUCAUGAACACCACAUAUGCUCAGAGGCUGGAAACUAAAUCAUAAUCAAUCUCUGUUUGCAUUCCAAAAUGUUAAAGUUCGUUCAAUGUUAAAAUGGUCCUGGUGCACAUCCAGGCAUUUACAGACCUAGCUGAUUCAUCCGCUGAGGUGCCUGUUUUCAUGACCCAUAUUCCUCUGGUGUUUUUACUGUUGCUGUCGCUGAUGGAAGUAUUGAGGGUGCUGUUGUAUUAGCAUAUUGAUGAUUGCUAUGUUUAAACUCUGUACUUUUGUUCUGUUUGUGAGUUGCCUAGAGGCUAUUUUUGUAUUGGGUGACUAAUAAAUCAAAUAAAUAAACAAUUUCAAGUUUCAGCUGCAUCGCUAAUUACUAUUUAAAGAGAGGGAGCUGUAAGACCAUUACAUUACCUAACUGCCACUGCUCAUGGUUCCAGUGGGAGGCUUUCUAAAAUAAAUUCCAGUACUGGAGUACUAAAUGCAGCUUUUUUGUUCUUUCUAUUCCAUCACUGUCUGGGCCAUAAUGGGAGGCAAGGAACAGGCCAGCAGGAAUAGUGAAUAGCCAGGAGCAACUCCAGGGAGAUCCUGUCCAUGAGUCCUGCUCGGGGGGUGCUGGGCAGAACACCAGACUAUGGUGGCCCCAGACUCCUGGGGUUGCCGGGUCAGGAGCAUCCCAAACCCUGAAGUUUCAAAUCAGAGACCUGGAGCAUGUUGGAAAC